rnacentral:rRNA from 1 species
UGAGGAAUAUUGGUCAAUGGACGCAAGUCUGAACCAGCCAAGUAGCGUGCAGGAUGACGGCCCUAUGGGUUGUAAACUGCUUUUAUAUGGGGAUAAAGUGGGGAACGUGUUCCCUUUUGCAGGUACCAUAUGAAAAAGGACCGGCUAAUUCCGUGCCAGCAGCCGCGGUAAUACGGAAGGUUCGGGCGUUAUCCGGAUUUAUUGGGUUUAAAGGGAGCGUAGGCCGUUUGGUAAGCGUGUUGUGAAAUGUAGGAGCUCAACUUCUAGAUUGCAGCGCGAACUGUCAGACUUGAGUGCGCACAACGUAGGCGGAAUUCAUGGUGUAGCGGUGAAAUGCUUAGAUAUCAUGAAGAACUCCGAUUGCGAAGGCAGCUUACGGGAGCGCAACUGACGCUGAAGCUCGAAGGUGCGGGUAUCGAACAGG